rnacentral:rRNA from 1 species
CGCAGGGACCGAGCGUUGUCCGGAUUCAUUGGGCGUAAAGAGCUCGUAGGCAGCCACUCAAGUCGAAUGUGAAACCUCGAGGCUUAACCUCGAGCCUGCAUUCGAUACUGGGCGGCUAGAGUCUGGUAGGGGGAUCUGGAAUUCCUGGUGUAGCGGUGGAAUGCGCAGAUAUCAGGAGGAACACCGGUGGCGAAGGCGGGAUCCUGGGCCAGUACUGACGCUGAGGAGCGAAAGCGUGGGGAGCAAACAGGAUUAGAUACCCUGGUAGUCCACGCCGUAAACGAUGGGCGCUAGGUGUGGGAGGUCAUCGACUCCUUCCGUGCCGCAGCUAACGCAUUAAGCGCCCCGCCUGGGGAGUACGGCCGCAAGGCUA